AUGGCGUCCACACCGCCGCCGGUAAUCGGCAAGGCGGGAAACCUCACUGUCUUCAUCACGCCCCCGGCCACGCCGCCGCCAGUGGAUACCCCGACCUCUCGUUCGGCCGAGUCGCCAGGAUCUGAGUUUUCCACCCCCAAUUCCACUCCCCGUUCGGUGGCGUCUCCUGCGUCCCCGCCGCCAGAGCAUAUAGCCACAUCGCCUCCGCCGGCCAAGAUGGUCUCGCCGCCUCCGCCGGUCAAGACGGUCUCCCCGCCACUGCCGCCAGCCAAGCUGUUCCAGGCCUCGCCAGUGCAGGUGCCUCCGCCGCAGUUCGAGAAGGCAGAGGCUAGGACGGAUGGAUCGGCGUUCGGCUUCUUCUGGGACGCGGUUUUGCGCGUGCAAGAAGCGCACGCAAGCUUGGAUGAGUACAUUUCGAAUUGGUUCGGGCUGGAUCAAUCCAAGUACCAGUGGGCGCUCAACGACUAUUACGAGAGCACCGGAAAGGUUCUUGAGGUACAGAAAGCUUCAUCUCCUAGAGAAGCUGCCGAUUGA
rnacentral:rRNA from 1 species